CUGAGAUGGGGUUUCACCACGUUGGCCAGGCUGGUCUGGAACUCCUGACCUCAGGUGAUCCGCCUGCCUUGGACUCCCAAAGUGCUGGGAUUACAGACGUGAGCCACCGUGCCCGGCCAGUUCUAUGAGUUUUGAUGAAUGUGUCCUGCUUCUUCCCAGGCUCCACCAUCUCUUCCCCUAAAGGCAACCACCAUUCUGAUUUCUCUCACCAAAGACUGGAAAAAUAUCCCAAUACCUGGAUGUAUGCCUCACGUGUCCCGCUGGCCCCAGCACCCAGUUUUUGGCUGUUACAAAUGAAGCCUCUGUGAGCCA
rnacentral:lncRNA from 10 species